CAGAUUUCCAGUCUGGACAGCUACGACGCCCCACUCAGUUUUCCAGUCACAUCCCAGGAGCCCUAAAUACAUCCAGAUAAGGACGAACUAAUUCCUGUGCCCCAGCCCCCAGAGGCAUUCUCUUGAUCCCGUCUGGCACAUCAGAGGCCAUGGGAAGUGCUUUUGGAUCUCCCUACGCACUGCCAUCUGCCUUGGAGACCCCCUAGGCAGCCCCAUCUUUCCUCUGAGACCUGAGCCACCCGGGACCCCAACACCCCGGGGUGAUCGGCUGCGGCCUGGGUGAAGCCUACUCGCCUCAAGCGCACGGGUGUCCUCACAUCCUCACGGAGAUGAGCGGAAGUGUGCGGCCCUCUCCGGCUCGUUCGGCUCAGCCAGCCCAGCCAAGCAAACCUCGCCCAGGGCCCUGUCUCCUGGCUGAGGCUUCUCAUGGUCACCGGACCUCUAUUCCAUCACAAAUCCUUCGGCUCUCAUCUUCCAAACUCAUCCGGAAUGGAACCUCCUCUGACACCACCAUGGCCACCGCCCUGCCCUGAGCCACCGUGGUCUCUUGCCCGGGGAGACCCAGGUAGCCUCCUGACCGGCCUUCCUCCUCCCACUUCUUCCCCCACUGCCUCUUCUCCAUAGUGGGCCCUGUAAGCCCCAUCCCAUCAUCCCUCUGCUCAAAGCCCAGGGCUCCUGCUUCACAGAGAGCAAAAGGCAAUGCCCUUAACAUAGCUUGCAAUGCCUUGCUCACACUGAACCCCACCCCAGAUCUCAGCUCAUUUCCAAGCUGCAAUCCCCGACCCUGGCUCUCUCCAUCCUCCUUCCUGGCUGGACUGUCUGGUCUUAGCACUUAACAAUACACACAUUCAGCUUGUUCAUCUUGUUGCGGGACUCCCACACCAGAAGAUGGAUUUUGUCUGUCUUGACCCCCCCAUGGUGUCUCUGGCAUGUAAGCCAGUGCCUGACACCGUUCAGUAUGUAGUGGUUGAAUAAAUGGAUGAGUGUGCCCAGGACUGACAGGUCCCCGAAAUUAUAGUUGGGGCUUCCCUUGGGGUCCUGGAGCACACCGAGGGCAUCUGACCCCAGGGCAGGUUGCCUCAGUUUCCUCACCUGUAAAUGGAACUGUAGUGGGGAACAGCUAAGCCCCUGCACAGUUGUAUGGCUCCUCAGGGCCCCGGUGAGGAGGGGCUGGGGUUCUGCAGAGGUCCACCCCUCUGGGAAGCCCAGCCACCUGCAGCCCUGGAGACCAGGGAGGGUCCUGGCUGAGGCUGGGUGAGCAGGGAUUGGUUCCUGAGGAGUUGAGGUUCAUGAUGUCAACUCCUGAGUCACUGAACACACAUCUGGCCCACAAACCCCUGCAGGAGCCGGACUCUCAAGUCAAAGAGAGAGCAGAGGAAGGGCCUGGUCAGCAGACCCAGGGGGGACUCCCACUUUGGAGGAUCUGGGUGUGUUCCUUGGGUUGUGGAUCCGGCAAGGGAGCUGGCCGAGGUUCCUGGGUCAGUAUGAGAGGCCCUGUGAGUCCAGCCGCCGAUGGGGAGGCAGACUUCCCUGGCCGUCUGUCUGUUUGUCCACCCAUAGUGGAGCA
rnacentral:lncRNA from 1 species